rnacentral:lncRNA from 1 species
UACUUGCUCAACAUAACAGACCCGGAAGAAAGAUUCUCUGCUCUAGCAACAGCAUUCUCUCCUGGGGAUGACCAUGAAGCCAAGGACCCUAAAGCAUUAUACACGUAAGUAAACAUUGAACAUCCAAAACCUUUGCUGUAUCAUCUGAUUCUAAACAAAGAGUAUGAAACACACACACAGGACGCCAAAGGAGCUGCACAAGUGGAUAAAGAUAAUGCUCGACGCUUACCAUCUCAACAAAGAAGAGACUGACAUCAGAGAAGCUAAACAGAUGAGCCAACCUAUCGUUAUCCAGCGGCUGUUCGUCCUCAAAGACACCAUCGAAGAGGAGUAUUUGGACAAGAAGACGUUUGUGGCUGAUGGAAACACGAAGAAGGAAGAAGACACUACUACUUCCGUUGAUGAAUUUUUGACUGAAAGGAGGGGGGAGAGUGUAAUUUAGUAGAAUAAACAGCGAAAUUUGAAAUUAAGACUAAAUACAAGGACUUCCUUUAAUAAAUUAUUAUUUCUGAUGGGCCUGGCCCAUACUAGUCGUGGAGAAAAGUCAACAUGACUUGUAGCCCACGAAUUUUUAUUCCUAUAUAUCACUUAAACCCUACGCGCAGCCAUACAUUCACAUCUCCGACCUUAAAC